rnacentral:tRNA from 1 species
GCGGAUAUGGCGGAAUUGGCAGACGCGCCAGACUUAGGAUCUGGUGUCUUUUGACGUGCAGGUUCAAGUCCUGUUAUCCGCA